AGAACGCAGCGAAAUGCGAUAAGUAAUGUGAAUUGCAGAAUUCAGUGAAUCAUCGAAUCUUUGAACGCACAUUGCGCCCCCUGGUAUUCCGGGGGGCAUGCCUGUCCGAGCGUCAUUACAACCCUCAAGCUCAGCUUGGUAUUGGGCCCCGCCGACCCGGCGGGCCCUAAAGUCAGUGGCGGUGCCGUCCGGCUCCGAGCGUAGUAAUUCUUCUCGCUCCGGAGGUCCGGUCGUGUGCUUGCCAGCAACCCCCAAUUUUUUCAGGUUGACCUCGGAUCAGGUAGGGAUACCCGCUGAACUUAAGCAUAUCAAUAGACGGAGGAA
rnacentral:rRNA from 1 species